rnacentral:lncRNA from 1 species
ACAUUUAGAGAAGUGUGUGCACGCGUGUAUGGAUAUAUUUUCACACAUACAUAACACACACACCUGAUUCUUCCCUGGCCAUACUCUCCUCCUUCCUGCCUCUACCUCCCUCCUCUUGCAGUUCCCACCAGGUAGUACACGCACAAGAAGGAAAAAAAUGUAAACAGGACGAAAGGACGCACAUGCAAGCAGAUUUUUUUCAGUGGGAUGAAUCUGGGCUGAGAGCAAUGGAAGUUUCCUGUUCUGCCUUCCAAACAGCUUUGUCCUUCUUUGAGUGCCUCUGAAGUUGGACAGUCUCUGGAACAAGGUUAAAAGUAAAGAAAAGAGGAG